GUUCCGUCUCAGUGCUGGGCUUGAAAGUACCUCAAGCACCAAAGGCAGCGUCUUCAGCCUCGCACACCGUAGAACUUGAAGGAAUCUUAGCACAGUCUCCAACCAGUGCUCUCAUUUUAGUGAUAAAGGACGUAGAACCAGCUCAUGGCAGAUGGAUAAGGAAGCAAAGCCAACAUCUGAGACAAAGGGUCUGCUGCUGGGACAGUACUUGAAGGCAUCAUUCUUGCCUUCCAGGUCCUGUGGACAAAGGGACGCUCAUUGUGCAGAGCCUCCCACUGGAAUGGGGUGGUACAGGCCAAUGUCUGUCAACGGCAACGGCUUUACCCUAGGAAUGUCCCUGACCUUGGGAGACCCUUGGGAUACCUGGUGGAUGGGAUUCUCUGCUGGUGGAGCCACAGGCAGGAAUCCUACACAGUCUGUGGAUCUCAUCUGCAGCACAUUGGAGUCAGCCGGGAGCUUUGGAAAAAAUCCCCACGCCCAGUCUACACUGCAGUACAACACGUGGUGCAUUUUUAAGGGGUAUCCAGGAGGUUCUGAUAUGAAGUUGAGAUUGAGAACAAUUUGA
rnacentral:lncRNA from 1 species